GAUGAACGCUGGCGGCGUGCCUAAUACAUGCAAGUCGAGCGAACGGACGAGAAGCUUGCUUCUCUGAUGUUAGCGGCGGACGGGUGAGUAACACGUGGAUAACCUACCUAUAAGACUGGGAUAACUUCGGGAAACCGGAGCUAAUACCGGAUGAUAUUUUGAACCGCAUGGUUCAAAAGUGAAAGACGGUCUUGCUGUCACUUAUAGAUGGAUCCGCGCUGCAUUAGCUAGUUGGUAAGUUAACGGCUUACCAAGGCAACGAGCCAUAGCCGACGUGAGAGGGAGAUCGGCCACACUGGAACUGAGCCGCUGUCCAGACUCCUACAGGAGGCAGCAGUAGGGAAUCUUCCGCAAUGGGCGAAAGCCUGACGGAGCAACGCCGCGGGUGAUAUGAAGGUGUUCAGAGCGUAAAACUCUGUUAUUAGGGAGGAACAUAUGUGUAAGUAACUGUGCACAUCUUGACGGUACCUAAUCAGAAAGCCACGGCUAACUACGUG
rnacentral:rRNA from 1 species